rnacentral:tRNA from 1 species
UCCCUGGUGGUCCAGUGGUUAGGAUUCCAUGCUUCCACUGCAGGAGGCCCAGUUUCGAUCCCUGGUCAGGGAA